AUGAACAAUGGAAACUUUGUCCUACAAAAUGCCUUAAACUCAUCCAACAUUUUAUGGCAGAGUUUUGACCACCCAACAAAUACUUUGCUUCCUGGUGCAAAGAUCGGACGAGACAAGGUCACUGGUUUGACUCACCGUCUUGUUUCCAACAAGAACUUGAUUGACCCAGCUCAUGGUCAUUACUGUUAUGAGUUAGUUCCUAACAAGUUGAUCCUUGCGCCUUUGAACUCAUCCAUAGCAUACUGGUCUAGCGGGGAAUGGAAUGGACAGUAUUUUAGCUCCAUUCCGGAGAUGUUAAGCCGCGACUUGAUAGACUUCAAGUUUGUCAACAACACAAAUGAGGAGUACUUCACAUUCACCUUACUGAACGACACGAUGAUCAUGCAUCAUCUACUUGAUGUUUCUGGUCAAAUGAAGACUUUAAUAUGGGUUGAGGUCUCUCAGGAUUGGUCACAUUCCUACAUCAACCCCAAUGCUCAGUGUGGUGUCUAUGCUUUCUGUGGACCAUUCACUGUGUAA
rnacentral:rRNA from 1 species